AAAAUGUAGUUAGAGAGGAAGAUGAACACUUACCGAGUGAUAUGCACAUAGGGAAAGCGACGCGAGUUGUUGUUGAUCCCUGGUUCUCGGUUGUUGCGAGCUCGUUUCCCGCAGGCUCUUCUGCACUUCGGGCGUAGCGAUGAGGCUCAAAACACCCCGAUUAGACAAAGUAAAGGCGAUCCGCGGUGUGAGGGGACCAAAACUUUCACCUCCUUUUAGCUGGUAGAAAAAGAUUUUACUCUCUCUUAGGCUGAAGGCAUAGCCCCAAAAUCGGAAUCUCUCUUGCAUAGGGUUUUUUUUUUUUUCCGGUAGAAAAGAAGAGUUACAUUUAGGCCUAAAUGUUAAAUUAUUUAACCUGAGUGAGAGCCAGCUGUCCAUGCUUCCUAAGUCAGAUGGCUUGUGAGAGACCGAAGAAAGUCUUAACCUGAGCGGGGGGCUCGUGAAAAUCCAAGCUGAGCGCGAUUGGGUGAGCGGGGUGUGAAUGGAUCCACCCGUUUGUUAUGUAAUUGUCAGCGGGGCAGUAAGGUUUACCUGGUAUGAUUGAUAUGCACACAGGUAAAAGUACCGCUAAUUGUUUUAAGCGGUCUGGCGAGGGGGGUAAUAUUGUGAAUUGGUCUGAGUACCGCUAAUUGUUUUAAGCGGUCUGGCGAAGGGGGUAAUAUUGUGAAUUGGUCUGAGUGGCGGCAGGGCAGCGGGGCACCUGGGAGGCGGAGUGGAUCUCCGGCGCAAAUUUCAAACGAAGACCCAGAAUCAUUAAGCAGUAGAUGGUGGAGCGAACAAGAAGGAAAAAGACACUGCUCUGGUUGCGGGCCGGUGCGGCUCGGAGCGAAGGGAGAACUUAGACACGGAGCUAGUGAUAGUCUUUUUUAUCAAAAAACAGCCCUAAGGAUUUGGUUUCAGGAUUUGACCCCUGUUUUCGAGUAUAAGGUUUUGGGUAUACGGGGGUUCCCUACAGGUUAUUUCUAGGGGUUUUUUGUUUUGCGUAUUUUGGAGAGAAACCCCGGAGGUUUUUUUGUUUUGUUUUUCAGGAGGAUUUGCCGGUUAUGUGCCUAAGGAUCGCGAGUAAGAACUUAGACACGGAGCUAGUGAUAGGGCUGUUUUUUGAUAAAAAAGACUAAGGAUUUGGUUUCAGGAUUUGACCCCUGUUUUCGAGUAUAAGGUUUUGGGUAUACGGGGGUUCCCUACAGGUUAUUUCUAGGGGUUUUUUGUUUUGCGUAACUAAGGAUUUGGUUUCAGGAUUUGACCCCUGUUUUCGAGUAUAAGGUUUUGGGUAUACGGGGGUUCCCUACAGGUUAUUUCUAGGGGUUUUUUGUUUUGCGUAUUUUGGAGAGAAACCCGCUGGGAGCCGCGGUGCGUUUAUGAUCGCGAGAGUUUUUUGCGACUCGGACUUUGAUUUUAAAUUUCUUUGUUUGGAUUAAACAAAUGCAUAUAAAUUGAAAUAAACUUUUGCCACAAGGCAUGCAACCUGUAUGUCUGGCCAUACUGAACGUUACAAAAGCACAAGUUUAACUAAGCACAUUUAUACUGGUUUAACACAUUUUCACCCCAUAAACACGGAGCCCCCACAGAAGCACGGUCCCGAGUCAGGCGCGCGCACGAGCGCGCCUAGACACACACACACAGGCGCACUGCGCACUCAUGCGCUGUCAUGCGCUGACCCACCACUAGAUGGCG
ensembl:lncRNA